UACGUAGGCAGCGAGCGUUGUUCGGAGUUACUGGGCGUAAAGGGUGUGUAGGCGGUUGUUUAAGUUUGGUGUGAAAUCUCCCGGCUCAACUGGGAGGGUGCGCCGAAUACUGAAUGUCUAGAGUGCGGGAGAGGUGAGUGGAAUUCCUGGUGUAGCGGUGAAAUGCGUAGAUAUCAGGAGGAACACCGGUGGUGUAGACGGCUCACUGGACCGUAACUGACGCUGAGACACGAAAGCGUGGGUAGCAAACAGG
rnacentral:rRNA from 1 species